GAUGAACGCUGGCGGCGUGCCUAAUACAUGCAAGUCGAGCGAACAGACGAGGAGCUUGCUCCUCUGACGUUAGCGGCGGACGGGUGAGUAACACGUGGAUAACCUACCUAUAAGACUGGGAUAACUUCGGGAAACCGGAGCUAAUACCGGAUAAUAUAUUGAACCGCAUGGUUCAAUAGUGAAAGACGGUUUUGCUUUCACUUAUAGAUGGAUCCGCGCCGGAUUAGCUAGUUGGUAAGGUAACGGCUUACCAAGGCAACGAUGCGUAGCCGACCUGAGAGGGUGAUCGGCCCAACUGGAACUGAGACAAGGUCCAGACUCCUACGGGAGGCAGCAGUAGGGAAUUUUACGCAAUGGGCGAGAGCUGGACGGAGCAACGCCGCGUGAGUGAGGAAGGUCUUGGGAUCGUAAAACUCUGUUAUUAGGGAAGAACAAAUGUGUAAGUAACUAGGCACGUCUUGACGGUACCUAAUCAGAAAGCCACGGCUAACUACGUG
rnacentral:rRNA from 1 species